GACGAACGCUGGCGGCGUGCUUAACACAUGCAAGUCGAGCGGAAAGGCCCUGCUUUUGUGGGGUGCUCGAGUGGCGAACGGGUGAGUAACACGUGAGUAACCUGCCCUUGACUUUGGGAUAACUUCAGGAAACUGGGGCUAAUACCGGAUAGGAGCUCCUGCUGCAUGGUGGGGGUUGGAAAGUUUCGGCGGUUGGGGAUGGACUCGCGGCUUAUCAGCUUGUUGGUGGGGUAGUGGCUUACCAAGGCUUUGACGGGUAGCCGGCCUGAGAGGGUGACCGGCCACAUUGGGACUGAGAUACGGCCCAGACUCCUACGGGAGGCAGCAGUGGGAAUAUUGCACAAUGGGCGGAAGCCUGAUGCAGCAACGCCGCGUGCGGGAUGACGGCCUUCGGGUUGUAAACCGCUUUCGCCUGUGACGAAGCGUGAGUGACGGUAAUGGGUAAAGAAGCACCGACUAACUACGUG
rnacentral:rRNA from 1 species